CAGAGAUAACAAACACGGUGAAUAAAUCCUGACAAAGGAACAGACCAAGAGCGUGAACAGCAUAGCAAAGACAGUAUUUUGAAGAACUGCGUCCCUUCAGGCAGAACAUUCCAUACAAGCCAGCACAGUAUGGCUCAAAAAUGUGGACUUGGGCUUCUGGAGCGGAACCUAGCAUGGAUGCUAAUUCUACAGUUACAUCUCCGUGAUCGCAGUAACGGGCUCCACAGCAAUCACUUAACAAGUGAGGGCUCCUUCCCAUUCCGGCAUAUCUGGAGCUGAUCCAGAAUAGAGGAGUCAAACUGUUUGGGAAACAGGCUGAGACAAGAUAGAAGUGAAAUGAUCUGAUUCCUCAAGGAAUUUUACUGGACUGUAAGACCAUGGAUGAAACAAAAUGUGAACAUACCAAAGGAGGCACAAAGUCAUUUCCUCCACUCUGUAAUUCAUUACUAAGAAUAUUAAAGUAGUCGCUGUUGCUA